ACAGUAGGCCCCAGGGAGCCCUUGGAAAGUUUGCAGCGUUUUGUGCCGUUUGCCACAACCCAGGGCAUCAAAAUCUGCACCUCAGGAUGCUGACACUGCUGUGAUUUAACACCUUCGAGAUUUCACCUCAAGAGUUUAAAAUAAUUCAGGUUCCAACAUAUCCAAAGCUCAACCCUUAACUGCUCAGAUCUCUGCCUUUGCUGCUAUAGAACACCAUAGAACUUGAGGCAAGUGAGACACACAAGAUCCUAAUGGAAAGCACAGCACAAAGAGAACUUCAGCACUCUAAUUUUCUUAUGAGAAAAGCAAUAUUUAAAUAUUUUCUUGGGUGUUUUGGAC